AAAAAAGGUAAGCUACUAAGAGCGAAUGGUGGAUGCCUUGACUGGUAAAGGCGAUGAAGGACGUACUAGACUGCGAUAAGCUACGGGGAGCUGUCAAGAAGCUUUGAUCCGUAGAUUUCCGAAUGGGGCAACCCAAUGUAUAGAGAUAUACAUUACCUAUAUAGGAGCGAACGAGGGGAAUUGAAACAUCUUAGUACCCUCAGGAAAAGAAAUCAAUAGAGAUUGCGUCAGUAGCGGCGAGCGAAAGCGCAAGAGGGCAAA
rnacentral:rRNA from 1 species